CUGGUCAUUUUUCCUGGCUACUGAUGAACUAAUCCUUUAAUUCUCAUUUGUUCAACUUAAAACUGACUCUGCUGAUGUAGAAUUUUUCCUUUUUUUUCCUUCCAAAGUAAAGAUUCACUUUAUAUUGGAAAAUAUCUCAGUACAUUAACAUCCAUAACACUGUUAAAAUCUGUCCUGGAUUUUGCAAACACAGAAUCAGCAAAUUUAACAAGGAGCACCUGUAAUUACAAGAAAUGAUAUUUUUAGAGGGGAUGGAUGGAGGGGAAUCACAGAACCACAGGGAAAGCUUUGCAGAGAGGAAGCCAAAUCUGGUAUUUCCAUGUAAUAUUAAAUAAAGGCAGGCUUAAAAACUCCACAACAUUUGAUGGAACAUCUGGCAAAGUGCGUGGCAUUGUUUUGCCAAAAUAUUUGCUGUUAGAAGUUGGAAACAAACUCGUGUGCAUUUGGGGCUGGAAUAUUUAAUUAAGCAGAAUAUAAAUGUUAUAAAAUCCUGUGAACUGGCUUCUCUCCUGGAGAUUGAGAUUUCCAAUCGGGAUUAUGGGGUUUGGAGCAGCCAAAUCCGGCUCCCUCCCGUUCCUUAGGCAGGAAAAUCCUUCGGUUCUGGCUGUAGACUCAUCAGAGGCCACGUUGAUCCCGGCAGCCGGGAUGUGUGACCUCCCGAUUCGGUGGGAAGGGUGGGAUGUGUGACCUCCCAAUUCGUGGGAAGGGUGAUUCCCGUGUUGGGAAAAGCUGGUUUCCAUUUUCCAGCCGCAAGGUGUUAACGACCGGUUUCCCUACCGGCUUGUUCUCGUGCCAAGGAAGGAUUAAGCUGUUUGUGGGAGGGAUGAGGAGCAGCUGGGGCUUUUUCUUUGGGAGCUGUGGGAUAUGAGGAAGGCUGGAGUGGAUAAACCUUUGGAUCGGGUGGGAAGUUGGCGUCGCUUCAGUGACUGGAUUAGUAAAUCCAGCGUGCUGCUCUAAACAGGAGCUGUUCCCUGAGGUGGGACAGCAGUGACCCCUCACAGCUGGGUCACUGUGCUUGAUGGUGCCUGUGAUUUCCUAAGGAAAUUUCCUAAGAAAUUCCCACCUUUAUUGGAGAUUCAGAAUUAAUUUGGGGACACUCGGAGCUGGUGUUGGUUGGAGCAUCCAAUUGAGAGGCCAGAGCGGUCCAGGAAAUAAUUUUAUCUCUGGAGGGUGACAGGCUGGUUAGAAGAAAACAAAAGGAAUUAAUAAUAAAGGGAGGGAAGGUGGGAGAAGUUGAGAUUUAAAUUGUAUUUGGCCUUUUUGCCGCCCACGGAAAAAUUUCCAGUUUUUAGUUGGAAAACAGAGCAGGGAAAAGUCCCUGUGAAGUGGCUGCGGCAAAAGCAGUUAAUGGGAGGCACAGGGUUGUGGAAUAAAGCUGGAAGGGAAGAGAGGAAUGACUGUCAUGGAAUGGUUUGGGUUGGAAUGGGUUGGAAGGGGCCAUAAAGAUCAUCCCAUUGCUCCAAGAUCCAACCUGGCCUUGGAUGCUUCCAGGGAUCCAGGGGCAGCCACAGCUUCUCUGGGAAAUCCAUUCCAGCCCCUCCCCACCCUCCCAGCCAGCAAUUCCUUCCCAAUGUCCCAGCUAAACAUUCUGUCCUUCAGCUGAAGGCAAGGGAUGAAGUCAAGGGGAUAAAAAAAUUCAGGAGAGCAGCCUGGAGAAGAGAGGCUGUGAGUGUGUUUUAAUGGAUACGGAUGUUUUUCCAGCAUCACUCGGGAAUGCUCCCAACAUCAGGAGCAGGUGGAAGUUUUGCGAAGGAGAAGUUUUGGGGAUGAAGGUAAAAGAUCAAUAAGGAUGAGGUUGAUA